rnacentral:lncRNA from 1 species
CUCCUUUUGCAGACGUUCUCUUUCUUCCUCUUCACGCCGCCUUCGCUCCUCUUCCUCCUUCCUUUUUUUUUCUUGCUCUUCCUUCUCUAUUUUGUGGGACGCAACAUAUGUUGAAAAGAGAUGGCAACACCUAUUUAAGAGCUUGACAAACUCCACCAUGGCAUCCUCUUUAGACAUGUUUCCCAGGGCUGCCCAUUCUCUCCUCCUGUCAUUCCCCAACACAUCAAAGAAUCCAACCUCAGGACAAGUGUCUGGAUUAUAUGGGCCCAUAAGAACUUGCUUAUGCAGUGCCACAAGCUUCAAUUUUUCUUCAUAAGUUGGAUGAAAUGCUUUGCCAUCUUUUUCUUUGAAGAAGCGCAGUGCCAGGCCGUACAACUCCUCCAGGCCGAAACCCCAGCGCUGCUCCAGCCGCCGCGCCUCCUCCGCCGCGCCCCCAGCCGCCGCCUCCCCGGGCUCGGGCUGCUCCCCUGAGGCGCCCGGGCCGCGACCGGAUCCAGGUGGCGAGGGCGGUGGCAGCGGUGGCGGCAGCAGCGGGGCGCCCUCCGCCCCAGGCCGCUCCUCCGGGUCCGGGCUGAGCGUGAGGCCGUCGACGGACACCUCGAGUCGCUCUGCGUUCAGCACCGCCGCCAU